rnacentral:rRNA from 1 species
UACGUAGGGGUGCGAGCGUUUAAUCGGAAUUACUGGGCGUAAAGCGUGCGUAGGCGGUUCCUCAAGUCCGUUGUGAAAGCCCCGGGCUCAACCUGGGGAAUGGCAGUGGGAAACUAGGGGGACUGGAAUCUGGCAGAGGGGGGUGGAAUGCCGCGUGUAGCAGUGAAAUGCGUAGAGAUGCGGCGGAACACCGAUGGCGAAGGCAGCCCCCUGGGCUGAGAUUGACGCUCAGGCACGAAAGCGUGGGGAGCAACAGG